UGCUGCGUGAGGCCGCUGGGGGCGCCAGAGAGGCGCAGAGUGCGCGGGGCCGGGGAGAGCGCGGAGUCCAGCAGGCUGAGAGCAGAGCCUGAGUGCGCGGCUGGUUCAGUGGGGCAGGGUCACCUCGCAAGGAUGCUGCACCCCGCCGCCCUGUCCAGCCAGCAACCCGGAGACUGGUGCAACUCCGGAAAGAAGCAAAGGUUCUUUCGCCCAGUCGCCGCUGGAGGACCGAAAGUUUUGCUCGCUGCAAAUCCCUUCCUCCCAAAGUCCCAGUCACCCACCGCGCGACGUCCUGGAAGGAUCCCGGAGGUUUAGUGGGGACGAAAUCGGCUGGUUCGCACCCCUCCAUCCUUAUCUCUCAGGACAGAGCGGGAGCUCUAGCGAGUACACCUCCCACCUACCAUCCGCUUCACCCUGUCUCAUUUCUCGGUGAGCCUUGGAACCCGAUCGCUUAGCAGAUGCCUUCAGGAAGCAGAAGCAAAGGGGAAAUGGACUUAACUCCAAGAAUCAGAUAGUGAAUGUCCACCCUCAGCAAAGGCUUUGCCGCUGUGACCUUCUUUGAUCUCACCCCACCACUACAACGAGGGAGGCCUAAACCUUGUCCACUGGCAGCAUUUGAAGAUCCAGUUGCUGCUAUGGGUUGGAAGGCACCUGUGGAGUGAAAGAGGACAUAGCCACGUAAGUACAGCAUCUUAUUGCUGCCUGGUUAUUUGUAAGCCAUCGUUUUCCUACUCCAAAUCAAGGGCUUCCUGGGGCUUAGGCACAACACUACAGACAGCCCUUAUCCCCAGUUCAUGGAUGAUGAAAUCGAGCCCCUCAGAGACGCUCCUUCCCAUUGUCUCCCCCAGUUCCCUAGACAUCAAACGCCCAGCCAGCGCUCUUUCCGCCAUUCACGUCACAGGCAUUAUAGAUUUCUUACAACAACCUGCCUGGAAAAUGGCUGUGCGGUGGCAUCAGGAAUGUGCAGGCUCUCUAAGGCUCACAGUGGAUUAGACAGACCAGAGAGGGGACGGUGUCACUGAUGACUAUGCAUGAGUCACCAACUCCACUGAGAGUUUUACACUUUGUGAGAACAGGAGUCACUCACCCUGUGACCACACAGAGAGACUGCUCUGUGCAGUACAGAGCGGUCUCCAAGAGCGUGUUUAAGUUGGCCAUUUCCCAAGAACUCUCUCAUACUGGAGAGAUACAAUGCUUUGGGUCACGGAAUAAUAAGAUGGCCUUGGUUCUAAUGUUGCUUGAUUCACCCUACACUGGACUAGGAGGAGACACUGACAUACAUCAGCUUAAUAAAUCUGACACUGAGGAGGGGCAGUGUGUGUGGUUUCAAUUACAGAUUGACCCAGGAUUGAUUGAACUGUCUGCUCUGCUCUGGCAGGGAUGGAGUCCAAGGAUUGGCUGGACUCUUGUGAGAGGUGGGUAUUGAAGCAUCAAUCAGCUGAUGGGCUCCAUGUCGCUUUGUAUCCUGGGAGAAUCAAAUUAUGAGUAAAAUGCCACAGUGACAUGGGAACAAUGACACCAGGAGGAUUAGCUCAGCCUGCCCCAGUGUUCAUUCAUUCCUUGUACCUGCACAGCCCCACCAAAACAAACCUUCCCUGCCCCCUGUCCUGUUCUCACCUUGUUCUUUAUCUUUAGUGUGACCACACCCACAUGUUUAGCCUUGUGUGAAAUUUCAGCAUGCAGGAGACUGAGACAUAAGGAUCACAAGUUCAAGGCCACCCUGUGCUAUGUGUCAAGACCUUGUUUUAAACAAAGGAAAAGGGAAGGAAAAAAAAACAGCAGUACAUAUUUUUCCUAAAAGUUCUGUUUAGUAAAUGCCUCCGAGUCAACUUCUGACUUGCUUCUCUCAUCUGCCAAGGUAAUAUUCAGUGCCUGGAGGCAUGAGAAUAAGAGAAAAAGAUUGGGGGAGAGCGAGUAAUGGAAGAGGAAAUCAAGGGGAAUAUGGAGGAGGGCAAGGGCAUCCUCUCUCAUGGUUGGAGCCUCCAGCCUCCCAGUGUCCACGUGAGUUUUUCCGCUGCUCACGUGAACGGACAAGAGAAAGUCUGCCUUCUUCUGUGUGAAGCUUAGAGUUGAGGCCAAACACAUUCCGCUGAGAAACUCAAGGUUGUGGCUCUCAGCCAUGAAGAGUGAGAUGCCUCCCAAGCUGAGCUGGGUCGAGGAAGGCCUGAGUUCACUGUCUGCCUCCUUCCCACAUACCCUGCAUCAGCAAGAUUGAAGAAGCUGUCAGGGUCUGCACUCAGUCUCUCAUGCAAAGAGCUACUCAUGAGAUCCCUUCUGGAAACCCAGGUUCCUCAGGGUGCCCACUCGUCCUGGUAAUGGGGUGGGGAUAACAGGUCACUUCAAUUGCCAGUCACUGUAAGUACCUUGCAUGUGUAAUGACAGUAACAUAUCACCCAAUGCAGUGAGGACUCUGUUUGAGGCACAGUCAAAAUUAGUUGAAACUUAGAAAUGUAUUUUAAUCUCUGAUACGCCUCUGAGUAUCCACUGUCAUUAAUAACUACCGUGGUUCACCCUGAUUUUGAGAUGGAAGUCUAGGCUGGACCUGUUUCACUGACUCAUGGCAGCAAGAGCCUGGCUUCAAGUCAGCUUGUGUGAUCUUCAUUUGGAAAAUAUGUGUGUGUGUGUGUGUGUGUGUGUGUGUGUGUGUGUGUGUGUGUGUGUGUGUAUGAUAUUAUGCAUGUGCCUGCCUGUGUGCCUAUGUUUUGUUUCCUGUUGCCGUGAUAAAAUUCCCUGACAAAACAACCUAGGAAGGGUCUGUUUUAGCCCACAGUUCUAGUGGCAGUCCAUCAUAGUGGGGAAGUCACAGGAGCAAUCAGAGGCAGCAAACGGACACACUCUCCUCUUCAGCAUGAACAGGUCCUAGCCCUGAAAUGGUGCCACCCACAUUCAGUGUAGGCCUUCCCACCUUAAUUAACCCACUCCAAAAAAAACAAAACAAAACAAAACAAACAAAAAAAACCAAAAAAACCAAAAACAAAACAAAAAAACAAAACGUUCUUUUCCAGGCUUGCCCACAGGUCAAGCCAAUCUAGACAGUUUUUCAUGGAGACUCUUCCUAGGCGAUUCCAUAUUGUAAUAAAUGGACAAUUGUGACAAACCAUCCAAGUCUUCAAGUCUAAGUCUGGCUCUGAGUCACCCAGAACUUGUUCAAAUCAGGGUACUCGAUGGAUCAUCCUCCUCCAAUUUCUGAUUUAGUAGGUCGCAGGACAGGCCUGAAGGUAUGACUAACAAGUCUUUGGUUGUGUGGUCAAGGAUGCUCCAGACUAUAUAUGGAGUACAGCCUAUCUACCCUAGGGUCCCAUUCUUGACUCAGACCUCUCCUUCUUAAGUUCUUUCUGGAAAGAGUGAACAGAAAUUAAGCGCUCGUGCGCGCGCGCGCACACACACACACACACACACACACACACACACACACACACACCCUAUGAAUAACAGGCCUAAGUUACCUGUGGGAUGGAGAAGAAACACGUGUGACUGCACCUGCAGUGUGGACAUGCGUUGCAAACUGCUAAAGCACGCAGCCACGCGGGGCCCACUUUAUAUGGAUCUAAUUCCAUGUCUCAAGCAGGCCAAUUCACAGAGGCAGGAAGCAGAUGAAUGGCUGUUCAGGACUGGGAGCAAGGAGGAAUGGGGAGUACUGCUUACCGGGUUUCCCUUUGGGAUGAUAAAAAUGUCCUAGAGCUAGAUAUUUGUGAUAGCUGCACCACCAUUGUAAAUGUAUUUUAUACUGCUAAAUCAAAUGCCUUCAGGUGACCAAAAAGGUAAGUUUUACGAUGCGAGUAUUUUACCACGAUAAAAUAUUAAACGUGUGAAUGAAGUCCUGAUUCAACUCAAUUUAGGUGGCCAGUUGAAAUGUUUACAGGAUUACGGCCGAGAAUGCAAAGGACCUACAGGACUCACAUAAAAGAGUCACCAGGGGUGUCAUACCAUAAGUCUACCUUAGGCACCGUCUGGAGUGCGGAGUCUAGAGGUGAAGCACCUAUGGGUUUAAAGCACACCUCCAAAGACUCCCCUGUGCAGCCAGGACAGGGGCUCGUGGCCACUGGCACCAACCCUUGUUUGGGAACACGGUGAGGAGUUCUUGGGAUCAGCCCAGCUCUCAGGCCUUGGAGAUCAGCUUUGCUACCUCAGACAAAUCCUGAAGAGAACAGCAUUUCACAGAGUUUGUGAGAUAUACACGGAGGGACGGGACCAUGUCUGAUCUCUGCCACUGCCUGGAAGGGAAGCACAGUGCCCUGGGCACGUGGAAGUCCCACACUGCAGCGGCUUCACCCUCAGUCCAGCUUGCUCCCUUCCAUAGGGAGAGAGCGUGGUGAGGUAGAGUUAGUAUCAAGAGGCUAAGGCCCAUAGAAAUUCAUUCUGUCCCAAAUUCAAAUCUUCUUUUGUCUGUCAAAACCCAAAUAAAGAUAAAAUUCACUCAUAAUUUCUAAUAAAAGUAUUGUUUGAACUUUUCCAAGGGUUAGUUCAGUUUAUACACAUAGGUGAUAUUGGGAAUAUAUAUGUAUAUGUAUAUGUGUAUGUAUGUAUGUAUGUAUUCAACCAUGUUGUGGUACAGAUACAGUAAUAUACUCUGUAUUCUUUCUCUUGGCUCUGUGUCUUCAGCACUGUUUGGUUUCAGUAGUUUGUUCCUGACAUUUUGUUCUUGUUUCUGAGACAGGAACUCACUAUUUCGUUCCUGGAACUCACUAUGUAAGCCAGGUUAUUCUUGAAUGCACAGAGAUCCAGCGGCCUCUGCUUCCCGAGUGCUGGAAUUAAAGGUGUGUGCCACGAUGCCUGGCCAUUACUGACAUUUUAACAGUGACAUCGUAUUUCAUGGUGGUUUUACCACAGCUUCCUUUGAUAAUCUGUCAUUAAGCCUUAGCCUGCUUCCGAGUUUCCAGUGUUUGGAACCAUGCCAGGUAGAAGCAUUCCGUGGUGGCUUUUCACUUUCUUUGACUUUUUUUGUUUCCUUAGGAUAAAUGUCCCCUAAGUCCCUGGGUCAAGGAUGUGAACUCUGUAGGUUUGACCGCACUGUUCAACAGCCUCACUUGCGCUCGGAUUAUCGCCUGCCAGUACAGCCGCCAUUUUCAACAAUACUGAAUGCUAAUACUGAAUUCCAGAGUUUGAGAAAGCUCUGCAAACUGCACAGAUUCUAACUGGACAUAGACCAUGACUCUUUCCCCUUCAGGACACAAACACCACCCCUUUCCUCAUCUCUCUUUUGGUGCAAGCCCCUGAUAUUUGUAAGCCGCUUGAGGGAACAUCAAGAAAUCAAUAAUUACGGUUUUUUUUCUUUGAAACAAUGAGUUAUCCAAGCAAUCCUACUUCCCAAUAUGUUUUGUGUUUUUCUAAUAGCAGAAGGUUUUGUUUUGCUUGUUUGUUUCCAAAGUAAACCAAAUAAUACUUUGUUUCAGGUUUGCUGGCUGCCUCAGGGGUUGUUGUGUACAGGGGAGAUGUAUGAAGUUUUUUUCACUGAGCGAAAAGACAUUUCCCCACAUUUGCUCAGUCAUCACUGUUCUCCUCCAGUGUCUCUCUGCACCCCCAUUUUGUUUCCUGUCUAUGCCAAGAUCUCGGGAAAAGCUAUUUGUAGAGUGCAUUUGAAGACAAAAAGCUCUUGUAAUUGAAACCAAAAACUAGUGGAGAGCUGAAGAGACAGCUCAGCAGGUAAAAACACUGCUUUUCCAGAGGACCAAAGUUUGGGUCCUACAAUGGGUGGGUAGGUCACAAGCUCCUGUGACUUCAGGGAAUCUUCUUCUUCUGGUCUCUACAGCAGAAAGGCACACACACACACACACACACACACACACACACACACACACACACACACACAAGCUAGACAUAUGCAUUGGUAACCACUGACGGGGACAGGAGGAGAGUUGGAUGUGCCCAUGUGAUAGACAUGCACACUGGUACCCACUGACCUGGCAGUGUGUGAUAGCAAAAAAGAUGCUGUGAAUCCAGUAAUGUUUUUAAAACAACUCUGCAUCUCAUUAAUUUUAAUAGGACCUAGGUAAAUUUCAAAAACAUUAGUAAAAAAAAAUAAUAAACAUAAGAUGAAGGCAUCUGGCUACCCCUAUCUGGCGUAUGCUUGUGCUCUCAGAUUCCUUGUUUUCUUUUUUACAGAGCAAGGGAAAUGCUGCUCUCAGAACAAGCCAGUGUCUUAUGACCGACAGGGACUUAGCCAAUGAACGAGACUAGGGGAGCACUGUAACCACUGCUUCACUAGUAAUUUUUAAAUUACUUUUUAAAGUGUGUGUCUGUCUGUCUGUCUCUGUCUGUCUGUCUGUGGAGACCAGAAGAUUAUUCCCUGAAGUCACAGAAAGGUUGUGACCCACCCAUUGUAGGAACCAAACUUUGGUCCUCUGGAAAAACCGUGUUCUUACCUGCUGAGCUGUCUCUCCAGAGCUCCCCUAGUUUUGUUUGUUUAGGUUUGGUUUGGACUUUAUUAAUUACAAAAUCUCAGCACUCGGGUGGGGAAGGUGGGCAGGACGUCCCAAGCUUAGCUGAGGAGCUACUGGCCUUUGAUACCUGCUGUGUUUGCUGAGGGGUAAAGUGCAGUCCCGAGCAAAUGUGUAUUCCUGACACAGGCUUGACCAUGGCAAGGACCGCAGUGCCUCAGCUGCCGCCUGGCAGUGGCAAAGGUGGGGCUCGGCAGGAUGGCAAAGCCUUCCUUGGGCAGAAUGGAAACUCUAACAGUGGGCGUGGAAAAUGUCCACCACAGCUGUCUUCCUCAGAAUAUUUACCAUCUGCAGACUGCUCCCCUACAGAGACUGUUCCUACUGAGAUUAGCUAAGCCUGCCUUCCUAAUCCACUGCAUACCAUAAGCCCUGCUUCCUUGUUUUAUCUGCAUGCAGUAACCCUGCCUCUCUCUUCAACAGUGCCCAAUAAACACUGCUUCUGAGGUACCGCACCUUCUCUGUGGGUCAGAGUUUUGCCUCCCAGCUGGGCUAAUACUGCUUGGGGAGGAGAGACACAGGGACGCUAGGCUAUGUUCCUUCCUUGCCACCAUGGGGAGGUAAAAUAUAGCCUAAGAUAGGGGUCCCAGCCCAUGUUUCUUCGGGUGAUAAGCCAUUAGGACUGGGGCAGAACCUGUUGUUCUCUAACUCCGGGGCACUCAGAUGCCUGGAAACCUUGAAGAGGAGAAAGACUUCUUCUCCCCACAGCAGCCCUUGAGGACGAAGACAGUCCUUGCUUGUCCAAACUGUGUACUAAUGGUAGAUGAGAACACACGUGACUUACUCAAGAGGACCAGAAAUUAAAUGCCCAAGAAGGGAGCUUAUCAGCUAAACCCUCAGGUCCCAUUUAGUUACCUCAUUAGCAUGGAGAACUCUAGGCUCUAUGCUGUGAGAUCCAUUAUCAUGGUCCUCUUAUUGGGGGUGUCAUGAUCGUGUACUCCGGAAUAGGAAUCUGGUUGGGACCAGAUUAAGAUGUCUAUCAUUCUCAAUUAUGAGAACUGCGGGGUUCCUUAAUCUGCUUAACCUUACCAGUUUCUCUGUCUGGUGACACAGUUCCCCUUGUUCCACACUUCUCCGUCAAAGAGACCUGGUUAUCCAUCCCAGCAUUUCUCUGCUCAUGUGUCUGCCAUUUCUUUGUUCCCUCAUUGUCCCUAAUCAGAGGUUUGGAUCCCCAACCAUGCAAGGACAAAACAGUUGUGGUCUCUGGUAGAUUGACGGUGUGGGGCUCACACCCAAGACUACUUGGGCGACACAAAUUGGACUCAAAGUAUUUGUAAGAUAGAGACAGCACACAGAAUUGGACGGAUCUGGGGGGAGUUGGGAGGUAAAUAUGAUCACAAUAC